rnacentral:rRNA from 1 species
GGGGAAUUUUGCGCAAUGGGCGAAAGCCUGACGCAGCAACGCCGCGUGCGGGACGAAGGCCCUCGGGUUGUAAACCGCUUUCAGCAGGGAAGAUCCAAGACGGUACCUGCAGAAGAAGCUCCGGCUAACUACGUGCCAGCAGCCGCGGUAAUACGUAGGGGGCGAGCGUUAUCCGGAUUCAUUGGGCGUAAAGCGCGCGGAGGCGGCCGCCUAAGCGGAACCUCUAAUCCCGGGGCUCAACCUCGGGCCGGGUUCCGGACUGGGCGGCUCGAGUGCGGUAGAGGAGAGCGGAAUUCCCGGUGUAGCGGUGGAAUGCGCAGAUAUCGGGAAGAACACCGAUGGCGAAGGCAGCUCUCUGGGCCGUCACUGACGCUGAGGCGCGAAAGCUGGGGGAGCGAACAGGA